rnacentral:rRNA from 1 species
GACGAACGCUGGCGGCGUGCCUAAUACAUGCAAGUAGAACGCAGUUGCGAACGGGUGAGUAACGUGUAGGUAACUGCCUCAUAGCGGGGGAUAACCUUUGGAAACGAUAGCUAAUACCGCAUACUGUGAGAUGGACCUGAGUUUUAUUAGGUAGGUUGUGAGGUAAAGGCUCACAAAGGCGACGAUACAUAGCCGACCUGUGCGGGUGCUCGACCACUCUGGGACUGUGUAACGGCCCAGACUCCUACGGGAUGGAGGAGUAGGGAAUCUUCGGCCAUGGACGGAAGUCUGGUCGAGCACCGGCGCGUGAGUGAAGAAGGUUUUCGGUGCGUAAAGCUCUGUUGAUAGAGGAGCGGUAACUAACCAUAAAGGCACGGCUAACUACGUGCCAGCAGCCGCGGUAAUUC